UACGAAGGGGGGCUAGCGUUGCUCGGAACCACUGGGCGUAAAGCGCACGUAGGCGGCUUUCUAAGUCAGGGGUGAAAUCCUGGAGCUCAACUCCAGAACUGCCUUUGAUACUGGAGCUUGAGUCCGGGAGAGGUGAGUGGAACUCCGAGUGUAGAGGUGAAAUUCGUAGAUAUUCGGAAGAACACCAGUGGCGAAGGCGGCUCACUGGCCCGGUACUGACGCUGAGGUGCGAAAGCGUGGGGGAGCAAACAGG
rnacentral:rRNA from 1 species